GAUGAACGCUGGCGGCGUGCCUAAUACAUGCAAGUCGAACGCUUCACUUCGGUGAAGAGUGGCGAACGGGUGAGUAAUACAUAAGUAACCUGGCAUCUACAGGGGGAUAACUGAUGGAAACGUCAGCUAAGACCGCAUAGGUGUAGAGAUCGCAUGAACUCUAUAUGAAAAGUGCUACGGGACUGGUAGAUGAUGGACUUAUGGCGCAUUAGCUUGUUGGUAGGGUAACGGCCUACCAAGGCGACGAUGCGUAGCCGACCUGAGAGGGUGACCGGCCACACUGGGACUGAGACACGGCCCAGACUCCUACGGGAGGCAGCAGUAGGGAAUUUUCGGCAAUGGGGGAAACCCUGACCGAGCAACGCCGCGUGAAGGAAGAAGUAAUACGUUAUGUAAACUUCUGUCAUAGAGGAAGAACGGUGGAUAUAGGGAAUGAUAUCCAAGUGACGGUACUCUAUAAGAAAGCCACGGCUAACUACGUG
rnacentral:rRNA from 1 species